rfam:Triticum aestivum genome assembly, contig: Triticum_aestivum_CS42_TGACv1_scaffold_071642_1DL
CAACUACUCCCUCUGUCCCAAAUUUCUUGUCUUAGAUUUGUCUAGAUACGGAUGUAUCUAAUACUAAAAUGUGACUUGAUACAUCCGUAUCUAGACAAAUCUAAGACAAGAAUUUUGGGAUGAAGGGAGUACUUU